CCCUGCCCUUUGUACACACCGCCCGUCGCUCCUACCGAUUGAGAGAUUCAGUGAACCUUCUGGAGUUUGGGUUGGCUUCUAGUCGGCCCUGCGAAGUUAAGUGAACUAUUAUCUCUUAGAGGAAGGAG
rnacentral:rRNA from 1 species